rnacentral:rRNA from 1 species
UGCAACCUGAGCUCAGUCGUGAUUACCCGCUG